rnacentral:rRNA from 1 species
CCUACGUGUGUCAGCAGUGGGGAAUAUUGGACAAUGGGCGAAAGCCUGAUCCAGCCAUGCCGCGUGUGUGAAGAAGGCCUUCGGGUUGUAAAGCACUUUCAGUGGGGAAGAAAGCCUUGGGGCUAAUACCCUCGAGGAAGGACAUCACCCACAGAAGAAGCACCGGCUAACUCCGUGCCAGCAGCCGCGGUAAUACGGAGGGUGCGAGCGUUAAUCGGAAUUACUGGGCGUAAAGCGCGCGUAGGCGGUCUGAUAAGCCGGUUGUGAAAGCCCCGGGCUCAACCUGGGAACGGCAUCCGGAACUGUCAGGCUAGAGUGCAGGAGAGGAAGGUAGAAUUCCCGGUGUAGCGGUGAAAUGCGUAGAGAUCGGGAGGAAUACCAGUGGCGAAGGCGGCCUUCUGGACUGACACUGACGCUGAGGUGCGAAAGCGUGGGUAGCAAACAGGAUUAGAUACCCUGGUAGUC